CGUUAGCGGCGGACGGGUGAGUAACGCGUGGGUAACCUACCUAUAAGACUGGGAUAACUUCGGGAAACCGGAGCUAAUACCGGAUAAUAUUUAGAACCGCAUGGUUCGAUAGUGAAAGAUGGUUUUGCUAUCACUUAUAGAUGGACCUGCGCCGUAUUAGCUAGUUGGUAAGGUGACGGCUUACCAAGGCGACGAUACGUAGCCGACCUGAGAGGGUGAUCGGCCACACUGGAACUGAGACACGGUCCAGACUCCUACGGGAGGCAGCAGAC
rnacentral:rRNA from 1 species